CUGGUCUAUACCCUCCAUACCCGAUAUUGAUGGAGCGACGACAAGGACUGCAAAGAUUUAGUGGACUCCAACUUGGGAUGCUCAUCUCUUCCCCGCAAUCCAUUUCUGCUAGAACUUUAUAGAACAAAUCAACAUCGCAGGGAAGCAAUAUUGGACCUUCGCUAUUGAACCCGUAUUCAAGUUCAGCAUCGUCUAGCAACAACUUGAACAAUGGAUGGUUAGCGAACUCUGUCUUUAUCACGAACCUUUGUUUCUCGGGUCCUACGUAGACUGAGAAGCAGCCGUAAGGAGCUACGUGGCACUUCUUUUUUCGCUUUUCAUUAUCUCCUUCGCUUGAUCUCUUGGUGCGGUGCCAUGAUUUGCUUUUUGUCAAAGAGUUGCGAAUAUUUCUUGCAGAUUUCUUGUUGCCAGAACCCAGAGAUCGACACCUUUCCCAUGCCCUGAGAAACAGGUUUCUCUUCCAGUUACCUUUUCCAAUAUCCAUUCUUCAGAGAGCAAGAUGAGAAACAGAAAGAGACCUAUCCAAAAUUGAAGUAGAGAUCAAGAUAAGAAGAAACCGAUCAUAAUAAAAUGUAGCUUUUGUCUGUAUUAUAAAUUUUCAACUCUGAAAAACGCAGAGAAGAGAACCCCACAAGAUAUGCUCAAUGAGAAAGGAG
rnacentral:misc_RNA from 1 species